UUCCUGGCACGCAGCGAUAUUCCUCUGCGUCGGGAUAGGGGUGAAUCAAGGCUAUAUCGAGCUGUGUGGGAGCUGGUUCCCGCCAAAGCCUUGCCCAGUAG
rnacentral:rRNA from 1 species